rnacentral:rRNA from 1 species
CGCUGGCGGCAUGCCUUACACAUGCAAGUCGAACGGUAACAGGUCUUCGGAUGCUGACGAGUGGCGAACGGGUGAGUAAUACAUCGGAACGUGCCCGAGAGUGGGGGAUAACGAAGCGAAAGCUUUGCUAAUACCGCAUACGAUCUCAGGAUGAAAGCAGGGGACCGCAAGGCCUUGCGCUCACGGAGCGGCCGAUGGCAGAUUAGGUAGUUGGUGGGAUAAAAGCUUACCAAGCCGACGAUCUGUAGCUGGUCUGAGAGGACGACCAGCCACACUGGGACUGAGACACGGCCCAGACUCCUACGGGAGGCAGCAGUGGGGAAUUUUGGACAAUGGGCGCAAGCCUGAUCCAGCCAUGCCGCGUGCAGGAUGAAGGCCUUCGGGUUGUAAACUGCUUUUGUACGGAACGAAAAGACUCUGGUUAAUACCUGGGGUCCAUGACGGUACCGUAAGAAUAAGCACCGGCUAACUACGUGCCAGCAGCCGCGGUAAUACGUAGGGUGCGAGCGUUAAUCGGAAUUACUGGGCGUAAAGCGUGCGCAGGCGGUUAUGUAAGACAGAUGUGAAAUCCCCGGGCUCAACCUGGGAACUGCAUUUGUGACUGCAUAGCUAGAGUACGGCAGAGGGGGAUGGAAUUCCGCGUGUAGCAGUGAAAUGCGUAGAUAUGCGGAGGAACACCGAUGGCGAAGGCAAUCCCCUGGGCCUGUACUGACGCUCAUGCACGAAAGCGUGGGGAGCAAACAGG